rnacentral:rRNA from 1 species
AUUGAACGCUGGCGGCAUGCUUUACACAUGCAAGUCGGACGGCAGCACAGAGAAGCUUGCUUCUUGGGUGGCGAGUGGCGAACGGGUGAGUAAUAUAUCGGAACGUACCGAGUAAUGGGGGAUAACUACUUCGAAAGAUUAGCUAAUACCGCAUAUUCUCUGAGGAGGAAAGCAGGGGACCUUCGGGCCUUGCGUUAUUCGAGCGGCCGAUAUCUGAUUAGCUAGUUGGUGGGGUAAAGGCCUACCAAGGCGACGAUCAGUAGCGGGUCUGAGAGGAUGAUCCGCCACACUGGGACUGAGACACGGCCCAGACUCCUACGGGAGGCAGCAGUGGGGAAUUUUGGACAAUGGGCGCAAGCCUGAUCCAGCCAUGCCGCGUGUCUGAAGAAGGCCUUCGGGUUGUAAAGGACUUUUGUCAGGGAAGAAAAGGACAGGGUUAAUACCCCUGUUUGA